rnacentral:rRNA from 1 species
UACGUAGGGUGCGAGCGUUGUCCGGAAUUAUUGGGCGUAAAGAGCUCGUAGGCGGUGUGUCACGUCGGCCGUGAAAACCUGGGGCUUAACUCUGGGCGUGCGGUCGAUACGGGCAUCACUAGAGUUCGGCAGGGGAGACUGGAAUUCCUGGUGUAGCGGUGAAAUGCGCAGAUAUCAGGAGGAACACCGGUGGCGAAGGCGGGUCUCUGGGCCUUACCUGACGCUGAGGAGCGAAAAGCGUGGGGGAGCGAACAGG